rnacentral:rRNA from 1 species
GAUGAACGCUAGCUACAGGCUUAACACAUGCAAGUCGAGGGGCAGCGCAGUGUAGCAAUACAUGGGCGGCGACCGGCGCACGGGUGCGUAACGCGUAUCCAACCUUCCCGUUACUCAGGGAUAGCCUUCCGAAAGGGAGAUUAAUACCUGAUGGUAUUCAAAUUUCGCAUGUUAUUUGAAUUAAAGAUUUAUCGGUAACGGAUGGGGAUGCGUGAUAUUAGGUAGAUGGCGGGGUAACGGCCCACCAUGCCUACGAUGUCUAGGGGUUCUGAGAGGAAGGUCCCCCCACACUGGAACUGAGACACGGCCCAAACUCCUACGGGAGGCAGCAGUGGGGGAAUAUUGCACAAAUGGGCGAAAGCCUGAUGCAGCGACGCCGCGUGAAUGAAGAAGUAUUUCGGUAUGUAAAGUUCUAUCAGCAGGGAAGAUAAUGACGGUACCUGACUAAGAAGCACCGGCUAAAUACGUGCCAGCAGCCG